GCACUGCGACGGGGGCUUCCCCUCAGCCACAGACACCACCGCCGCUGGCCAAGCCCCGCAGCUCCCGCUGUCCGCGGGCGCCAUGCAGUUUAUGUUGCUUUUUAGUCGUCAGGGAAAGCUUCGGCUGCAGAAAUGGUAUGUCCCGCUAUCAGACAAAGAGAAGAAAAAGAUUACAAGAGAACUUGUUCAAACUGUUUUAGCACGGAAACCGAAAAUGUGCAGCUUCCUUGAGUGGCGCGAUCUGAAGAUUGUUUACAAAAGGUAUGCUAGUCUGUAUUUUUGCUGUGUUAUUGAGGAUCAGGACAAUGAACUAAUUACCCUGGAAAUAAUUCAUCGUUGUGUGGAAUUACUUGACAAGUAUUUUGGCAGUGUGUGUGAACUUGAUAUCAUCUUUAAUUUUGAGAAGGCUUAUUUUAUUUUAGAUGAGUUUCUUUUGGGAGGGGAAGUUCAGGAAACAUCCAAGAAAAGUGUCCUUAAAGCAAUUGAGCAGGCCGACCUACUGCAGGAGAAAACAGAGAGUAUGUAUCACAGCAAGAGUUUCAUUGGGUGUAAGAAAGCGUACUAGAAUACGUGCUGGAGUACAGAUAUGCAUCAAAAUG